GUGGGGAAUCUUCCGCAAUGGACGAAAGUCUGACGGAGCGACGCCGCGUGAGUGAAGAAGGCCUUCGGGUCGUAAAGCUCUGUCAUCAGGGACGAACGGCCGGUGGAGUGGAAAGCCACCGGAUUGACGGUACCUGAGAAGGAAGCCACGGCUAACUACGUGCCAGCAGCCGCGGUAAUACGUAGGUGGCAAGCGUUGUCCGGAAUUAUUGGGCGUAAAGCGCGCGCAGGUGGGAUCUUAAGUCCAUUUUUAAAGUUCGGAGCUCAACUCCGUGAUGGGAUGGAAACUGGGAUUCUUGAGUACCGGAGAGGAAAGCGGAAUUCCCCGUGUAGCGGUGAAAUGCGUAGAUAUGGGGAGGAACACCAGUGGCGAAGGCGACUUUCUGGACGAAAACUGACGCUGAGGCGCGAAAGCCAGGGGAGCGAACGGGAUUAGAUACCCCUGUAGUCC
rnacentral:rRNA from 1 species